rnacentral:lncRNA from 1 species
GAGCAGCCUGGCAGCGGUAGCGGCGGCGGCGGCAGCAGCCACCCGGGGGGAAAGAGCCGGGGGAGGGAGGGGAGGCGGGGUGAAGAGGAGGAGGAGGAAGGGGAGGAGGGCGGGCGGAAUAAACUUCCCGAGGCGCAGCGGCACGGGCUGGGAGGGCGGCCGCGGGCGGGGCGGGCGGCCCGGGGGGAGGCUCGCCCUAGGGGAGGCUUGCCCGAGGGGCGGCGGGGGAGACGGUCACAGAGAGUAGAAAAGUUCCCCCGGCGCGGAGGGGGAGGCUGCGGCGGCGGCGGCGGCUGCAAAGAUCAGGAGCCGGAGCGGGAGGAGCGGGAGGAGGAGGAGAAGGAAGUGGCUGCGGAGCGCUCGGCCAAUGAGUGUCUGGAGCUGUGAUUAACCAGGCAGCAACACAUCAUUUCCUCCCGGCGCGGAUCCAGGGAGCCGGGAGGGAGAGGGAAGGCGGCGGGGCGGGGCCGUCCCCGCGCCCCCUGCAGGCGCCCGGCCGGGGGCGAGCCCGCCGAGCCCCACCGAGCCUGGCCGUCCCACCCCCGGCGCGCCCGGCGCGGUCUGGCGGGCCCGGAGGAGGCUGCGAGCGCGCCGCCCGCGGGGCUUCUCAGAGGCGGGGCGGCGGCGGGGCAGGCCCGAGCCGGGCUCCCGCGGCCGGGGUGGGAGGAGGAGAGGCCGCGCGGCGCGGGACUGAUGGUAGCCACCUUCUAACCACAAGAAGAGUCAGUCUGAAGAAAACAGAGGAUGGCAGAGUUCAAAGAAGAGCAGAGAAAUAGAUCUCCAGCUCCAAUGGUGUACAUUGAGGAAUCUGUCCUCUCCGACAGACAAGAUUCCCCAGCACACAUCCAACAGUGAUGCUCCCUGCCAAG